rnacentral:rRNA from 1 species
CNCGUUAGCUCCAGGAAACGUGGACGGUUCGACCUAACCGGUAACGGAAGGGGCGGUCCCCAAGGAGUGACUGGUAACUGGGGUG